AUGAGCCUAGAAUCUUGCAUCUUCCCAUGCAUAGAAAGAUGCUAAAUUUCUUAGUUUGAGAUGCUACCUUUCUGUUUGAAGUUCACUAUUUCUAAAUUUGCAGGUGUAAACUGCUCUUCCUUUUCCAAGAGGAACAAAGGAAGACUAGUCUUGACAUUUAAAAACACCAGCACUAAUGGCAGGCACUCCCAGGAAGAUCCAUCUGGCGAGCAAAAUGGCCCCCCUUCUCCUACAAGAUUAUGAGAUGGACAUUGAGAAGGGGAAUUGUAUCCUGAAAGGGUUAAUCUUACAUUUAUACUGGGUCUGCUUCUGUGACUUUAACCCUUUUUGUUAUUGUAAGCAUUAUGUAUGGCCUGCAGCCUGAGCCACCCACCUAUGAAGCACUGUAAAGAAGUGAAACUUAACACAUUCCCCUGCCUUCCGAUUCUAGGGGACAUUUGCAAGCACUGAAUAGUCUUUUUUACUUUACUAUGUUUCCUUACCUCCCCCCAUCCAAUUAAAAAAACCUAGCAACCAGGCCCUGAGGAGGUGGUUAUUUUGAGGUGCUAGCCUGUUAUCUUCGCAGCUGGCUCCCCGAUUUUAAUUUCUCUUCCUUGCCUCAACACCUCGUCUCUCAGAUUCAUUGGCCUGUCAUGCAGUGAGCAUAGCUAGCUAGCUUGGACACAGAAGGCUGUCUGAGGCUCUUAAAUCUAAACGCUGUAAAGGUCUAUCAGCCAGACUUACACAUAACAAGCCUUGGCCAUCUGAACAAGAAACCUUAAUGCAUACCAACUGCUUAUAAACUAGUAAGUUUAUAUUGUAAUACCUGGUUCAUAACUAAGCAUUUAAAUGAAGCCAUGAGGCUGUUAACAUCAGGCUAUGCUAAUUUACAUUUUAAAGCCUCCUCUGUGCUGGAAACAGUUAAAUCAUACUAAGGAUAAUCAGUCUAGUAAUACUAGAAAACAGGCUGGGUGCCUUAUGGACAAUAUAUAGUUUCCCUAAGAAAUAAGGAUUGGUACAGAACAAGCUAAGUCAGAUGACUUUGGUAUAUACUGGGCUACACCUAAUGGAAGUUCUUAAGUUCUUAUUUAUGGCCUUGCUAUUAACUGCUAGCUAUUUUGUUUUAUAUUGUUUUGUAUAUUGCCUGUUUCAUAAGUGUUGUCCCUUACAUUACUAAGUAUUUGACUGAGUCACUGAUAAAAUGAUAGUAUACAGUCCCAUAUAAGGUCAGUAAUUGCAACAGUGUAACUCUAGAUAUGGGAAAAAAGAACCAAAGGGAAUAUUUUCCUGGACCGCAAGAGAUUCAGAAGCACAGGUAGUCCAGACAGUUUUGAAUACUGUUUUAUGGCCUAGUCCAGUGACAGCACAUUUAGUGGCCUAUCAACAAAAUCUUCAUAAGACUUGGAAUGAGCAUUCCUAGCACCAUGGGACAAAAUGGUCAUGUAAUGCCCUCAAACCAUAGUCAGCUUCAUGAACCUGAAGGGGCUCAGCCAGUUGGCACUUGCCAUCUGUCUCUACAGAAAUUAAAUCAUGGCCACUGAAGCUGCUGACCUUCAAUACCCCCUGAAAGGAAGUCAGGGUGGAAAUUAGGAAUGAGGCACUCUGUGCUCUGGAAAAAUUGUCAAAAGAGCCCUUCAGAUAGUUAAACACUUUCAGGAGUAGAUAUUUUGUAAGCCCUGAGUCUUGCAUCUUCUUGUACCUAGAGAAACAUUAACAUCAUUGACAGGGACAGUCGCUGUGGCUAUUUAAGGAAAAAUUAUAGUUAAAGUCAACAUAGAGUAGCUAUGGAACUGACUAGGUGACACUAUGGUGUGAUUUCAGACAAGUCCUUGUAUUGUUAACAACUUGAGUUUUCUGACCUGUGUUAGACUUAGAAUACCGUCAGCCAUUCGAAAAAUAAAAGUAGCAGAUAACUACAGCCUUACUUUUUAAAGAAAGAAAAAGAAAGUGAAGUCACUCAGUCAUGUCCAACUCUUUGCAACCCCAUGGACUGCAGCCCAGCAGACUCCUCCGUCCAGGGAAUUUUCCAGAUGACACAGAUUCACAUCAAGAUAAAGAUGAUGUGCGAAGAAAACCCAUGCCCCCAAAGAGAUUACAGCCACUCCUCCAAACAUCCAGUGGGAAUAACCACAAAAGUCACGCUGGGGCCCCUUAAUAGAACAGGGUGAGAGCUCCAUGACCCCAACUAGGUACGGUCUAUGAGUUCUGUGUCAGCAUUAAAGAAGUUAUAGAAGACUGACCAUCUGUCCCUCAUCACCUCAAUAAAGAUUUCUUGGGGUUCACAUCUCAAGGAAAAUUUAAAGUAGGAGAUAGAUGGUCCCUGGGCUGAAUAGCUGGUGAUUUUCAAACGGAGCAAAACUGAAGUUUGUCCUCAGCCAGACAAGAAUGACGUAUUUCCCUUCCUCCAUUGUUAGGAGGGAAUAAACUGAUGGGGGAGUUGUUGCAGUAAAAAGGGAAAAAGAGGAAUGAGUUUUUCUUUUUUACUUCUCUGAGAGCAAAGAAGAUAAAGAAGAACAGUGAGCAGGCCUGAACAUUCCUAGUUUAUUUUACUUUAACUGCUCCUGAUUCCAUAUGUCUGUAACUAAGCUUGCUUUUCUGCUCCCUAGCUCUGCAGGAGCUACGCUUCACUUGACUCUAUACUAAAUACAUCCUCUAUCUGAUGUUUACCUUUACAACAGCCUUCCCCUUGUAGUUACAUGUCAGAAAGAAGGCCUCAGAGCCACCAGACUGCCAGAUGCAGUUAUGGGUUACUGAUGCCGGUUUAUGACUGUCUUUGACAUGAUGCAAGAGGAAGAAAUCACGAUCCUAUCACCUUUGUUUCCUCAUCACUGACUCCUGACUGCUCCUGACUGUGAGCACCUGCCUUAGGGACACAGUUCUUGAGGCAGGAGCAUGCUGCGUUCCCCUCUCCACUACCUGAGAAUAAAAGGUACCAUUCUAUUUCUUCCAAA